rnacentral:ncRNA from 1 species
GGUUGGGCGGUGCUGCUUUUGAAGGUGCCGUUUUCAAGAAAUUUGCUUUUUGGGUGGAAAGCU